AGGGGCCCAACCUGCCUGGCGAUGCAGAGCUUCCUGCAACUGCUGAGGGGAAACGGGGGCCACAGCCUGCCCUUGCCGGAGCUGGUGACCCUCGCAGGCAGGCUGUGCCGGGACCUGCAGGAUGACCCCACCCAGGUGCAGCCCUUGGUCACAGCUGUGCUGGACAGCCAGUUCCGCCUGUACCUCUUGGACAAUGCGGAUGUGGCCCUGGUGUGCGCCAGCGUGCUGGCCCAGCGAGAACAGCACCAGGCCGCUUGCCGGCUGCUGGAGGGGUGCCAGGUGCCGGGUGGCAGCCCCAAGCUGGUGCAGCUCUGGAAUGACAUCCAUUACCGUCUGGCCAUGAAGAGGCUUGGUGUGUCCACGCUGACACCGGUGCAGAAGUUCCGGUGCAGGAAGAGGAAUCCACCACCUGCCUCCCUCUGUCCUAAUGGCCUCAAGAGCCGGAACUUCCCCAGAGAAGUUCGCCAGAAGCUGGAGGACUUUGCCUCAGGCGUGAGCACCAACCCCAGCAAGGCCGAGCGGGAGGACCUGGCCUCUGAGACGCACCUGACCACGGAGCAAGUCUACAACUGGUUUGCCAAUUACCGGCGGCGCCAGAGGGCCUUGAUGCAGCGUGCAGCGCCAGCCCCAGACUCAGCAGAAGACCUCACGUCGGGGGAGGCGAGUCGGCACCUCCCCCCGCAGCCAACAGACCACCCCCACCUUGGCUCUGGGCUUGUGGACAGGCCUCAGUGGUCAACAGGACCGGAGAAAAGUGGGCCUCUACAGACCCUGGAGACCACCCAAGGGCCGUGGGAGCCGCUGGCUCUGACCCCAGACCUCUCUGGAGACGAGACUAUGCCCAAGUCACUGGCUCCCAGGUCUCUGCAGGGUGGUGAGAUACACCAGGAGGGACCUAACCAUGAUCCUGCCACUCUGCCCCCUGUCUGCUCUGGCCCUGGUCUCUGUCCUCUGGCUGCUGCCAACGAUAUGCUGGACCCCUCUCUGGCUGCCCCUGAGUCGUGGCUGAUGUCUCUCGCACUGGCAUCCUCCAAGGAAGUUUCCUUCCAGACUGGGCAGCUGAUCCACAGUCGUGGGCUGGACGUCACCAUGCGCCCUACCGACGCUGCUCUGGCUGUGUCCUUUGCCGCCCUCAGGGAGCCCAGCCCCACAGGAUUCGCUGACCCUCCCAGCAUCAACCCCCAGGGCACAUACCUGGAGGAGGAUCCGGGUUCCUGCGGUAGCCAAGCAGAACAACAGGCGGGCAACCUUCAGGUGACCCAGCCCCCGGCACAGGCUCCCAAUUUCAUCCUCACCCAGAGUCCCUCAGACCUGACUCCGGCCCCACCAGGCUUCCCUGGCCCCAUGUCUGCCGUGGAGCUGGGCCAGCCCCCUCCCUCCAGCCAGGUGCAGUGGUCUGAUGGGCAGACCUCCAGCGACGCCUUCUGGGGAGCCAGGAUGCUCCUGGAGCUUUCAGCGGGUAGCCUGGGCUGA
rnacentral:lncRNA from 1 species